rnacentral:rRNA from 1 species
UACGUAGGGUCCAAGCGUUGUCCGGAUUUAUUGGGCGUAAAGAGCUCGUAGGCGGUUCGUCGCGUCGGCUGUGAAAACCCGGAGCUCAACUCCGGGCCUGCAGUCGAUACGGGCGGACUUGAGUGUUGCAGGGGAGACUGGAAUUCCUGGUGUAGCGGUGAAAUGCGCAGAUAUCAGGAGGAACACCGGUGGCGAAGGCGGGUCUCUGGGCAACUACUGACGCUGAGGAGCGAAAGCGUGGGGAGCAAACAGG